rnacentral:misc_RNA from 1 species
ACGGAACGACGGAAGAGCUGAUGCCGGUCUAUGAAUGUGCCCGAAGACGAAUCGCCGAACACUUCAGUGGAGCCAAAAGCCUGCGCCGUCUCGGUUCGGAUCUUGGUGGAAUCUUUGAUCACGCUGAUGUCAUCUAUACGGUCCAGCUCACCUCUAUCCGUUAGGCGGCAUCGGGCGCUUGUGAGCAGGUCAAUCGAAUGAAAAUGGCGGGUAACACGCAGCGUCCAGAUUUCUACUGCAAGAGCAGCAUCAUUCUGAGCGCGGCGCGCCUUUACGCUGAUCGAGUUAUUGGUUGUCAUCGCCAUCAUCGCUCUCCUAGCGGCGCUGUUGUUGCCUGCGUUGGCGAAGUCCAAGGCGAAAGCGCAACGCAUCGCGUGCCUGAACAACCAAAAGCAGAUCGGCCUUUCCCUCAUCAUGUGGGCGGGCGAUCACAGCG